rnacentral:lncRNA from 1 species
AUGCUACCCGCUUAUUUGUUAUGUAGAUUACAGCAUUGGGUUGAAUGCAUUGCGUAGUUAGGCUCCACUGCACUCUACAUACAUGCACAUGUAGCUCCAACAGGUGGUGCAUAUCUAUAGUGGGUGGGUUGAAUGCAUUGGGUAGUUAGGCUCCACUGCACUCUACAUACAUUGUAGCUCAAACAGGUGAUGCAUAGCUAUAGUGGGUGGGUUGCCUUACUUUGCAGUGUAGUGUCACUAUCUGCACACAAGUCAUACAGGCAGGACCUAUGGGUUGGAGGUGGAUGAAAGUUGUUUCAUAGGACCUAUGGGUUGGAGGUGAAUGAAAGUUGUUUCAUAGCAUUUUGCGCUGCAAGUCCAAUUUCCAUAGAGAGUCACGAUCACCAGAACCGACAUUGAGGCCUGCCCCGAUUUUCUGCAUUUCAGUCAACCAGUCAAACUAUGGUGUUCCGGCUAGGACGUACAGAGCAAGUCCGGUAUCUAAGUUCAUGCCACAAUGGGUGGAUCUCUACCUGUAACGACUAAGGAGAGAUGAAGGUGCCAUUACAGAUGUAGCAACCCCUUCGUUACACGGGACAAGUUCCAGCAACAGUAACAACUAUGGUUUCUUUGUUCCCAUGAACAAUAUUUUAUUAUCACAUCUUGAGUGAUUGCAUCACUAAAGUGGGUUAUUUUAUUUAUAUUUCCAGACGUACGAUAAACUUACGACCAUUUUCAGUGACGAUACUCUGUACAAAUGUGUGAUUUUGUGACAUCUUAGAAUACAACCUCAGGGUUGGGUUCAAUAUAUAUUUUAUAUCUUUAUAUGCAUUUCUAUUGUGAUAAGAAGUAAUGUAAUAAAGAUAAGAAGAAGAUGAUAUCCUUUGAUACACUUUAA